rnacentral:rRNA from 1 species
GACGAACGCUGGCGGCGUGCUUAACACAUGCAAGUCGAACGGAGUGGAGAACGGGUGAGUAACACGUGGGUGAUCUGGCUUGCACUUCGGGAUAAGCUAGGGAAACUGGGUCUAAUAGCGGAUAGUGCAAGAUGAGCCGGGGGCCUAUCAGCUUGUUGGUGGGGUAAUGGUCUACCAAGGCGGCGACGGGUAGCCGGCCUGAGAGGGUGUACGGGCACAUUGGGACUGAGGUACGGCCCAGACUCCUACGGGAGGCAGCAGUGGGGAAUAUUGCACCAUGGGCGGAAGCCUGAUGCAGCGACGCCGCGUGGGGGAUGAAGGCCUUCGAGUUGUAAACUCCUUUCGACAGGGACGCGGUACCUGUAUAAGAAGCACCGGCUAACUACGUGCCAGCAGCCGCGGUAAUAC